CAGCCGCCGCGGUAAUACGUAGGGUGCGAGCGUUAAUCGGAAUUACUGGGCGUAAAGCGUGCGCAGGCGGUUUUGUAAGACAGAUGUGAAAUCCCCGGGCUCAACCUGGGAACUGCAUUUGUGACUGUAUAGCUAGAGUACGGCAGAGGGGGAUGGAAUUCCGCGUGUAGCAGUGAAAUGCGUAGAUAUGCGGAGGAACACCGAUGGCGAAGGCAAUCCCCUGGGCCUGUACUGACGCUCAUGCACGAAAGCGUGGGGAGCAAACAGGAUUAGAUACCCCCGUAGUCCCUGUCUCUUAUAC
rnacentral:rRNA from 1 species